UUUUAAGAUCGUGUUUGAUCUUUUUAGCUUUCAACCUUAUGAUAUUUAUUUUGAUAGCGUUAUAUUUAAUUAUAGAUUGAUUAUCUGUUGGGAUACCCAAAUUAUGUUUAUACAUGUUUUCAGCGUAGCGUUUUGGCAGGGAUCAGUUGACUACACAGGCAGGGAAUUUCGUCAUGAGGACUGAUAAUACAUUUAAACGGCUAAUGCUAUUUUAAACACUGACUGUUGAUAUUGUAUAUCUUCAUAGGUAACGGACAAUAUUUUUCUUGGUAGCACAAUUUGGUAAUAUAGAUAUAUAUCUACAUGUAGUGGAUUGUGCUUAUAAGUGGCGGGGUAAUAUUCUAUUUAUAAAAUUACCGGCCACUUGACAAGGAAUAUCAAUAUCUGGUCAACAGUUAUUUACUGUCGGAAAACCAUUAGAAGAGAAUCUAUAAAUUAAAAAAAAACCCAGAUCUACCUAUGCUCUAUAAUGGAUUAGUUUGUAAUCAAUAUGACUCCUGUAGGAAACACGCGAUACCUUUAGGAUACACGUGAUUGUGUGGUAUGAACUGUGCAAACAUGAUUUCUCGUAAUAACGUAAUAUUUCCAUCUCGCUGUUUUAUAAAGAUAAAGUUUUCCAAACACAACGCUUUAUCGAGUACCAGACCACAAAGGUUCAUCGUAACAUAUACACUAAACUUGACUAAAAUGGCUUUCUCUACGGACAAUGGCUAGGCCCAGAUGGAAAGCCAGUAACAGCAGGGCUGAUCAGGAUAACACCCAAUAUGGCGCCACGGGAGGCCAGACAAAUCACUCAGGGACGACUCCAGAUGUACCCACUUGUAAAGACACUCAGCCAGAGGGAGAUGGAACCACCCUAACGCAGCCUCACUCACAACACGAUUUGCACCUGUCCGGAUCUGUAUCGUCUAAAGCACCACCACAAUCUGACAAAGCAACAGGCGGCGACGUAGAAAGGCCCGCAAAAGUCUUCAGCUCUGGAACCGAUGGGGACGAUAUCACCACUGAUACUACUGACCAUGUAAACACAGAGAAAGUAAGAACAUUUAUUACAAGAUCACGUUUAGCCGAAUUGAUAUGACAUUUAUUUUGUUUGUGACUGGUGUAGAACCAUUCUAGUACUUACUUGUCCUUCACGUCUGUCGUAUGACUUCUUUUUAUGGAAAAGAAUCUACCAUACAAGUUACCUCAGGGUAAAAUGUCUUAAUUUCACAGUUGUAUCUUUCAUUUGUCCCUUCGAUUCCAUCUAUAUGUAUUCCCCAUCGUGAUGGGCAUAUGGUCGAGGUACUGGUAAAACAGUACAUUCCUCGAUAUAGAGACA